GACGAACGCUGGCGGCGUGCUUAACACAUGCAAGUCGAACGGAAAGGCCCUGCUUUUGUGGGGUGCUCGAGUGGCGAACGGGUGAGUAACACGUGAGUAACCUGCCCUUGACUUUGGGAUAACUUCAGGAAACUGGGGCUAAUACCGGAUAGGAGCUCCUGCUGCAUGGUGGGGGUUGGAAAGUUUCGGCGGUUGGGGAUGGACUCGCGGCUUAUCAGCUUGUUGGUGGGGUAGUGGCUUACCAAGGCUUUGACGGGUAGCCGGCCUGAGAGGGUGACCGGCCACAUUGGGACUGAGAUACGGCCCAGACUCCUACGGGAGGCAGCAGUGGGGAAUAUUGCACAAUGGGCGGAAGCCUGAUGCAGCAACGCCGCGUGCGGGAUGACGGCCUUCGGGUUGUAAACCGCUUUCGCCUGUGACGAAGCGUGAGUGACGGUAAUGGGUAAAGAUGCACCGGCUAACUACGUA
rnacentral:rRNA from 1 species